CUGCUGCCUCCCGUAGGAGUCUGGGCCGUAUCUCAGUCCCAAUGUGGCCGUUCAACCUCUCAGUCCGGCUACUGAUCGUCGCCUUGGUAGGCCUUUACCCCACCAACUAGCUAAUCAGACGCAAGCUCAUCUAUCAGCGGAUUACUCCUUUCCCACUAGGCUCAUGCGAACCCCUAUGGCAUAUGCGGUAUUAGCAAUGAUUUCUCAUUGUUAUUCCCCUCUGAUAGGCAGAUUU
rnacentral:rRNA from 1 species